rnacentral:lncRNA from 1 species
GAGAAGCUUCGCGGCUGACCUUUAACUUCCCCACACCUCAGGGGACCUGAUGUGGAAGGUUCUUGCAAGCCUAUGCUCAGCGAGCUCUGGGAAAGGAAGGCCAGAUUUGGUCACAGUGAUCUCAGAGGACAGUGCCUGGACACGAUAUUCUGUGUUUGUGCUUGCAAUCUCAGAAACAGCACGAGAUUGUGGAGGCUUCACGAACUCUGAAACUUUGCUCACGAGUUGCAAGCAAAGCUGUGAGUUUUCCAAAGGUUAUUUGGCCAGAAGAGGAUGUCAGCACACAGAAGAAGAGACCACCACUGCUGGCCUUUCCAGUUCCAGCCGGACACCGCGGAGCACUGUUGACAACCGUGCAGGGCUCAUUCUCCUUCACAGAGAGGGGGCCGGGUGCGCCUCCCAGCCCAGGCCCCCAGGAGGCUCUGAGAGGGCAGAGGGGAGGGCCUUCUAAUAAGGCAUAAGCUGCUGGAAAGACAAACUCAAGCGCAAGCUGGGAGGAUCUCACUAGACCUACAAAAGUGGAAGGAAGCUGGCCGGGUGCCUGGCGCUGUGUGACCUACGCAACGAAAGGCAAGCUGAUCUUAGAAUGCUCAAAGAGGAGCAACUCUCCCAUGACCCUGUCCGUUUACACCAGAGAAGAGCAGAUAUGUCAUUCUGCUGCCAGGGCUGAGGAGGGGCAGUUUGCAUCAGGAGCAGACAAGUGGGUGCAACAGACUCUGAUUGCAAAAGUAGAGAAGAUCUCUCUGGAAGGAAACCUCCCAAUGUUUUCACCACGAGCUGUCAUGAAGAGAGACCUUGUGAAGCUCCACUCCAGCUUAGCUGCUUGCAAGGACAUCCCAGUUUCCAGGCACCAAAGUCUGGUAAAGCAGUCACUCAGCCUUCGGCUCCAGGCAGCCCCCUCAGGGAUGUUCUACUUGCUCUUCCACCCUUGGAGGCCGGGCUACCACUGUGUUCCGAAAACUGAUGAGCAUCCAGCGGGCAGCUCGCAGUCAGCUCCCCAGGCUGAUACUGGUUCCCUGUUCCCAGAAGUUGCAUGGAUCUGGGAGAAAGCCUGUCAGAUGCUGUUAGAGAUCUGA